UUCUCUACUUAAAGUGUGUUGAACUUUAUUUUUUUAAGAGAAUCCAGAUCAACCCACCACUCUCCGGACCCCAUUGCGUGAGCUAAAUGGACAUCGCAGUGUGGUGAUUGCAGCUGAUUGGUUGAACUUCGGUGGUCAGGCGAUAACUGCAUCCUGGGAUAGAACUGCCAUCUUGUUUGACGCAGAAACUAGGGCAAACUUGACUGUUCUCAAAGGUUUUCGAACUCAGGACUAAGCGCCAUUUCUUUUAAUACAUCAUUUAUAUGGAGCGACCAGGGACUGACAGACGUAAGGGUCCACCCUUGUUGUGACCUCAUCCAAGGAUACAACCUUCCGACUUUGGGACUUCAGGGACACUAACAUGCCUGUCACGGUGUUCCUAGGCCACAACCAACCAGUUACAACGGCAGCCUUUGCUGGUAAUGAGAAGGUGGUUUCGGGCAGCGAUGAUCGUACAGUGAAAGUCUUGGAUCUGAAGUACAUGCGGUCACCAAUAUCCACCAUCCGUACUGACUCAUCUGUGAACAGGGCCACUCAAAAAUGGUGUGCACUGUAGCCUAGCCUGGACCGAGGAAAAUCCGGUGUGUAACCUUUUCUCGUGCGGCUUCGACAGACAGGUCCUAAGUUGGAGCAUCAAUGUCCAGAUCAAGGAAUGAAAAGAGUCAGUUAUGGAUAGUUCUGAAGAAACAUGAGCCUCGUUCAUGGACAACUGGGAUUAAUGCAUGGGACAGCACUCUCCGCCUUAACUGGAUUUUUGCUAAAGAGAUGCUUUCUUCAAACGAAAAAAUACAAACAAGUGAAAAGUGUUGUCUCUGAUAAGCCUGUGCAGAUUUCUCAGGCUAAUCUGUAGAGCUGUAACGAUUCGGUUCGAUGCAUCGAAAAACCGAUUCAAUGCCGCCGAUUCGAUUUCGAUACCAAUACGGCCAAUUUGGAUUCGAUUCACUGCAAUCCCGAUUGAUCCGCAUUUGAAACCUUACUUUCCAAAUCCGUCGUCUAAACGUUCUUGUCAUUUGUAAUACGGCUUGUGAUUGGUCAAUAGCCAAUAUGUCAUCCAAUGAAUGAAUAAAUACCAUGCUGAGCAUUACAUCAACCGGUAAAAUGGCUUUUUCAACCACGCCGAAAGAUGCACGUCAAAAUUAAAAUCAAAAGUAUGGGAACAUUUCGGGUUUUGGCGAAGGUUCUGAUGCGAAGGCAACUUGCAAAACGUGUUUUGUUGAUGUAAGUUACCCACAUGGUUUGUUUACUUAACUGUGUGCAUUCUGUUAAGAAGUCAACUGGAAGUUGUUUAUUCACUUACUUUUUUUUUUCUUCUGUUAAACACAUGAUACAUUUAGCAUUCUGUGUUAUUUAAGAACAACUCAACAGGAAGUUUUGUUCAAUAAAUUUGUUACUUAUAAAACAAUGUUGCGUUUUUAUAUUUUAUUUAAAAACUUAAACACUUUAAAUGUACAAUGUAUAAGUUAAUAACAAAUACCAAACAUAUUAAUUCAUGCUCUGGACAAACCAAACAUGAAAUAGUUUGCAAAAUAAGCAGCAAAUAGUUUUAUUUGAAUCGAAUCGAAAAUAAUCGAAUCGGACCAUUUUGUAUCGAAAUCGAAUUGAAUCGAAUGAUGGGUGAAUUGUAACAGCUCUGGGGCGACACAUGCGUUAAGCCCAAUGUUCCCUUAAGAAGGCUCAUAUUAUCUGGAGAAAUUAAAUUGUUCUUGUUCUAAAUACAUUUUAUUCCAUGCUUACAUGGAAGAGUGUGUUUUCAAUACCAAACUAUGAAAGGAUUUGUUUUCUGUCAUUGCUUGUCACCAAAUUCAAGGUAGAUAUAGAAAAUAUUAUUAAGUUUUUUUUUCUCAAUUUAUUUUGUUAAUGUUA